GAUGAACGCUGGCGGCGUGCCUAACACAUUCAAGUCGAACGGUGAAGGGACUUCGGUCCCGGAUCAGUGGCGGACGGGUGAGUAACACGUGGGUAACCUGCCUUACAGAGGGGGAUAACAGUUUGAAAAGACUGCUAAUACCGCAUAAGCACACAGUACCGCAUGGUACGGGGUGAAAAGAUUUAUCGCUGUAAGAUGGACCCGCGUCUGAUUAGCUAGUUGGCAGGGUAACGGCCUACCAAGGCGACGAUCAGUAGCCGACCUGAGAGGGUGAUCGGCCACAUUGGGACUGAGACACGGCCCAAACUCCUACGGGAGGCAGCAGUGGGGGAUAUUGCACAAUGGAGGAAACUCUGAUGCAGCGACGCCGCGUGAGUGAAGAAGUAUUUCGGUAUGUAAAGCUCUAUCAGCAGGGAAGAUAAUGACAGUACCUGACUAAGAAGCCCCGGCUAACUACGUG
rnacentral:rRNA from 1 species